CGAUCAGUAGGGUAAAACUAACCUGUCUCACGACGGUCUAAACCCAGCUCACGUUCCCUAUUGGUGGGUGAACAAUCCAACGCUUGGCGAAUUCUGCUUCGCAAUGAUAGGAAGACCCGACAUCGAAGGAUCAAAAAGCAACGUCGCUAUGGGCGCUUGGCUGCCACAAGCCAGUUAUCCCUGUGGUAACUUUUCUGACACCUCUUACAUGAAAUCCGCAAAAUCAAAAGGAUCGAUAGGCCACGCUUUCGCGGUCUCUAUUCGUACUGGAAAUCAAAAUCAAGUGAGCUGGGUUUAGACCGUCGUGAGACAGGUUAGUUUUACCCUACUGAUCACUGAUCGUUGCUAUAGUAAUCCUGCUCAGUACGAGAGGAACCGCAGGAUCAGACAUUUGGUUCAUGCGCUUGGCUGAAAGGCCAGUGGCGCGAAGCUACCAUCUGAAAGAUAAUGACUGAACGCCUCUAAGUCAGAAUCUUGCCUAUCGACUGGCGACGAUACGUUGCGUCCGAGUUGUUGCAAGGUUGACGGUAGACCGGCGGUCGCCUUGCGCGGUCGACCGGUCUCCACUUGAAGCCGUGCUGCCACUUGUUGACGGCAGCGCCGUCGGCUAGCAUGAACGACAUGCUGCGACGGCGGCGAAACCACUAAUCACCCAACCGGUGAAACAGCAGUCGGACAGCAGAGUUUCCCGUAGACGACGGACACACCGGUUGACGUGUUGUGAUCACUAGAGCAGUCCCAACACUGCGAUUUGUUGAGACUUUGCCUUUCAUUGGACUG
rnacentral:ncRNA from 1 species